GAAGCCUCCACCCACCCAGCAGAAUGAUCUCAGCUCAAGGCCAUUCUUGCAUUGGUUUCUCUGAAUUGGCCCAGUAAAUGCUGUUUCUUCACAAAUAAAAUCAUGGCAGGAACUGGCUUUUUGAUUUGUACAAUUAUUGAGCUUCUGAACAUGAGACUGCACAGUUUACCUCCCAGGAAAAUCAUGUUUUCUUAACUAUAUGGCAGAGCUCCUCAAGACACUGAGGGAACCCAACCAAGCACACUAUGCUUUUAGCAGGUGGUGACUUUCCAAGCUAAAAAUGCAGGAUCUGUGUGAUGCAGAGAUGAGUCACCACACGUCACACAGCAACAGGCUCUUUGGUGAAAGAAGGUAGGUGAGCUGGUGCUCACAGGUCUUCCUCUAGCAAGCUGGGUAGACAUGAUUUCCUUUUCCCCAAACCUUUCUCCCCCCUCUGUUUUCAUUAGCUAGAAACCUACUUACUGACUCUGACCUACAUUUGCAGUAGUUCCGGAAUGCAACAGAACUGUGUUUCUGGGGAAUUUGCUAUUUGCUAAAAAUUUUAAUCCAAGUCAUUUUGAAAUGUUAUAUGUUAACUGAGCAAACACAGCAAUCAGAAAAGUAUACAAACCCCAAGCAAUUGUCCUGGAUUUGUUUACAACACACUGCUAUUAAUGAGCGUCUGGGAUGAGUAUGGGAUCUUGUACUAUGGAUCUCAUGAUCUGUACAAUAAUGGCUGAUUUUAAUUGACUUUUGCUUCAUAUAGCAAAUCCCAAUUGGAGAAGUUCCAGGAUGCUGCUAGUGAAGAACUGUGGGCGGGUGCAUGUUUUGAAGUGAUGGUAAACAUUGUGACAUAUACUGUGUGUACCACAUAUUCUCAUAUGCACAUUUUGACUUUUGUUGCCUUGGCUUUCACACAGCAUUUCUAACAUAGACAUUCCUAUUUGCCAGUUUGAGUGGAAAUCUGUUAAUAUGUGAAUACUGCUCGCCAGCACGUACCAGCAUCGCUGGACUCUCAGUACUUCUCUUCUCCCAUGGAACACCCAGCCCUGCGUGCUCAGAGGGGCUCCACAGGACUGCGGCAUCUAUGUGAGCAGGACUGGCAGAGCUGUGCAAACAAGGAGUGAUGAGAGCUGCUGUGAGAAACCAUAACUUUGAGAACGUGUAACUCAGCUCAGUGAGUGAUCCACUAAUUCCCAAUGAAGCCAUCUGUGAUGGUAACUAAAAUGGGAACGGAACAGGAUUCACUUUGGAGCGCCCGUCAGAAGUGCUCCCCUCCGGCAUGCGCUGCCAGCAGCAGCAUGUCUUCCAAGAUCAUUCCCAAGAUGAUUUGUUGGAGCCUGCCUAGGCAUGUUCCUGUGUGAGGAACUUGGUGAGCAGCCUACUCAUGUGAGGCCAGAGAGCAUCCAGGAUUCCCUGAAGGAGGCAGAGGAAUCCCUGCAGAACUCCUCAUGCGUCCCCAUGGGACAGGACACAAGAUUUGGGAAAAACCUUCCAUGCCUUUGUUAACUCAUGCACAAAAUGAGCGGAUUGGUGCAGUGGAGCCCCUCACAUUGACACAGCCAGCUCUUGUCCCAGCCAGGUGAGGCUGUGCCAGGCAGGGCAGCCUGGCAAUCCUGAGACAUAACAGGGAGCUGUACAUCCCCAAGAUGGCUUGGAAGUUCCAGGUAAUCACAGUAUGGAGCAUAACGUGGAUUUAUAUUUGUUACUUUACUUGCCUAUGGUACCUCCCAAGAGCCUUCUGAGGCAUUCCAUUCUUUAAUAAGCUGAAAGUGCUCCGAGAUUUUUCUAAUGAAAAUGAUAUAGGAGCACACAGUGUUAUUAUUAAAACCUCUCUCUUUUUCUCUAGGAACUGCUAAAAUACAUUUACAGUUUAUAUCCUUUUUG